rnacentral:lncRNA from 1 species
ACAGGGUGGGAAAGGUAGGGGGAGUGGAGGAUGGGGAGACGUUGGUUAAUGGAUACAAAAUUAUAGCUACAUAGGAGGAAUUAACUCUAGUGUUCCGUGGCAUCAGUUCUUACCUACAGAAAAAUACAGUAUUGUGUAAUAAAAUUUCUUUCAAAACAUUUAACUAGCUUUGUUAUAGUCUCAAAGCUAUAGAGCCUGUAUUUUAACAUAAAAAUACACAAAUAUUUAUGUGAUUAAACUCAAUUUAUCCUCCAUUCCUAGCUGAGAUCAGGCUGCUGCACUCAGGCAGCCUGGGUGACUGAGCGAGACUCCGUCUCAAAAACAAUACAAUGGUAAAACUUUUAAGUAAAUCUAACAGCAGAACUUUUAGAAUCUGAACAAUAUGCCUGAAGAUGAUGAUCCAAGAUUUGACUGUAAGCACAAAUUCAAGAAUAGUAUAUACAGUAUAGGCCCAAAGAAGUUAUCUAAGUAUGGAAUAUAUGAAGGUAAUGUGUAUUAUUCCAAAUUAUUAUAUUUUAUCUAGAUUAUAUGUUAUAUAUAAUAUGCUAUGUAUUAUAAUUAUUAAUAAUACAUCACAGAAAAAGUCUUAAAGAAUGUACAACAAUUUUUUUUUUUUCUGAGAUGGAGUCUUGCC